rnacentral:sRNA from 1 species
CUGCAAUAGGGAUAGUAGUGGAAAUCCUUUUUUGUGGAUUGGAUGAUGUUCAAACUUUUCGGAAAGCACCGUCCACAAAAAAGAUUGCAACGGAUAGCCCGACCCGAG